UUUAUAUACAUGUACAUAGGUCUUAUCUCUUUGACACAAGCUGUACUGGGAGUGACUGUGGAACAAAGCGAGCUCUCCAUUACCAAGGCAGAAGGCAAAACUACCUACAUCAGCUGUAAAGUAACUGGGAGCACUAAUGUUCACUGGUAUCAAAAGAAGGAUGGUGAACCUUUCAAAAGGGUCCUGUACACUACUACUGCUAACAGCUUCAAUCCAGAUCCUAACCAUCCCGAGGCAGGGGACUUCAGUGUACCCAAAGGCACCUACAAUCUGAAGGUGAUCAAAGUGAGGAAGAGUCAUGCAGCAGUUUAUUACUGCGCCUGUUGGGACACAAGCAGCCACAGUGACAGUAAUUAUUCACAUCCUGUACAGAAACCCUCACACUAUUAA